rnacentral:rRNA from 1 species
AAUAUUUGACAAUGGGGGCAACCCUGAUCUAGCCAUGCCUCGUGAGUGAUGAAGGCCUUAGGGUUGUAAAGCACUUUCAGCUGUGAAGAUAAUGACGGUAGCAGCAGACGAACGCCCGGCUAACUCCGUCCCAGCAGCCGCGGUAAUACGGAGGGGACGACAGUUGUUCGGAAUUACUGGGCGUAAAGCGCAACUAGGCGGAUCGGAAAGUUGGGUGUGAAAUCCCGGGGCUCAACCCCGGAACUGCCUUCAAAACUAUCGGUCUGGAGUUCGAGAGGGGUGAGUGGAAUUCCGAGUGUAGAGGUGAAAUUCAUAGAUAUUCGGAGGAACACCAGUGGCGAAGGCGGCUCACUGGCUCGAUACUGACGCUGAGGUGCGAAAGCGUGGGGAGCAAACAG